UGCACCCGUAGCUAAGUGGUUAACACAGCUGUUUUGAAAAUUUUCAAUGCGGGUUCGAACCCCACCGGGGUAA